CACGCAGUCCCCACCGUUCCAACCCUUCUCUCCCCCGCACCGGCACCCGCUCACCAAACCCUAGCCGUCGCCUUCCCCGUCCCCGCACCAUGGCUGUCGACGGCGAGGAGCCCGAAUCCCCAUGCCUCCCUGUCCUCAAGUGGGUCAUGUCCCCCGCCAUGGCCACAACGGGCCUUCCAGAUCCACGCCUCCUCGCGCCGCCGCCAUCUCCCCGAUCGACGCCACCACACUCUCAUCCUCAUGCGCCGAGCGCCGCCACCACCCUCUUGCCGCCGCCUCCCAACCCCCUUGCUGCCACCUCCUCCUUCCUCCAGCACCAUCUCUCCAACCCCAGCACCAUCUCUGACCCUGCCACCGGCCUCCGUUGCUUCCGCUGCGAGGACGCCGACGCCCUCCUCUUCGUCUCCCCAUCGAACCCCUCCUUCUCCACCUCCUUCCACCACCGGAGCCCCGCCUCCUCCUUCCUCCAGCUCCGUCGGAGCCCUGCCCCACCACGCCUCCUUCCUCCAACAUGGGUGGUUCGGGCCAGCGCGCCCCCAACUGCCGACGCACCCCGCGGCGAUGGCGGGAUCCAGCCGCCACUGCCCCCUGGUGAGGCCUCCUCCACCGGAUCCGGCCGCGACGGCCAUCAGUGCAGGCCCAAAACCCCCGGAUCUGGCAGCCACCGACCCCCUGACCGGCCUUCUUCCAGAGGCCCUGUGACGCGCCGCCCCACCCGCCCCGCAACCUCCUGCCCGCACCACCUGGUCCACGACGGUGCUCUAAGGGUCUGGAUUUCGACGGGGCGGCGGUCGUCCAUGCUACUGCCUCCAAUGGUCGAGCACACAGGCGUAUGGUUCCACCUCAGCGACUCCAUGGCCCUCCGGGAUGCUUUCCGGUUCCACGGGGCCAACCAAGCAUGGCACCUUCAAGUAGAUGCAGCUCUGCCUCCAAUGGCAGAGGGGCGCAGCUGCAGCACCGCACUUUCAGAUUAUGACUAGGCAGGCUAGUGGGUUGCAGCAGUAGUAUGCAGGGUUAAUACGGCUACAGUCUUCCACUAUGGAUCAAUAAGCUUGAUUGCCGAGCCUUGCCGGACAGCGCAUCUGCACGCCAUGAAGGUUGCCAAAGAGGUCGGCGCGCUUCUCUCGUAUGAACUGAACCUGAGGGAGGCAUUGUGGCCAUCCCUUGAGGAGGCUCGCACCAAGAUCUUGAGCAUCUGGGACCAGGCAGACAUUGUCAAGGUCAGCGAGGUCGAGCUCAAGGACACAACGGCAGUAGCAGCAACAAGGAAAGGAAUUCAAGGCCAUGGGAGCUGCUUCUAGUAUAGGACGUGCUGGACCUACUGCUGCUGCCAGUUGUGUUACCUGACCAAGUCCCCAAGCUGCAUCUUGCUGCUCCUGCCCCGGCCGUCCUCAAUUUGCUCCUGGACAGCUACCGCAGAGGAGGUAUGGCUCUCGCGCAAUGAUGCUGGAGACUGUUGCCGCAGUGCUGGGGGUGGAGACAGAUUGCAUUGGAAAUAUUCUGUUAUUCCUUACAUAAUGUUCUUGUUGCUGAUAAUAGGGCAUGUAGAUAGCAAGUUAUUUUCCUAUUGGUUACUUAUGCUUAUUGUGUAUCACAUUUAAAAAGAAAAUGCACAAUGAGCUUGUUUGAUCUUUUUUAUGCUUAUGUAUGCUUGAUCAGGGUAGUUCUUUUUUAAUUUGAUGACAAUGAACCAAUAUAAACAGUCAUCAGUAGCUAGUGUGCAUUGCCAAGUACAACAGUUCUACAUUGUAUGAAAUCAUCUAUAGAUAUUAUUUAUCGAUAUGGGUUAACUAAUCCUUAUUGAUCGAUCCUCUCUUUUAGUUAAUAAUGUAUGCAUGCCUUGUAUGUUCUGUGUUCUUUACUAUAUUGUUCUGUCCUCGGGCAAUUAAACAUUGUAUUUGUUUUUAUUGUGAUAUGCAACUCUUCAAAAAAAACUGUAUUAUGGAAUUACUCAUCUACAUGGAAUUUCUAUGUAUUCUGGUAGUUUAUUUUUGAUAUUGUAUUGCUGUAUUCCCAAUCUGUGUGGGAGCCGAAGCUCGAUUUGUUCCUAUUUCUGUUUCUGUUUUAGUACUAGUACAAUGUAAUGAUUUUGUGCUUUCAUGAAGUAUUUUGCGCUAUUUUUAUCUGUCGAGCAAUUUAGAAGACCUGUAGAGCAUUUAACUAGACAGUCGACUUUGCAUGUGCAACUAUGCUUGCUUAGAGCAGCCCUUGACUGGUUACAUUAUUGUGAUGGUCGGUGCUGUUCUUAGUUGUGCUACAGUAUGUGUUCCGUGUUGUUUGCACUUGUUAGCCAAAUCAUUGCACAUGCAGUGUUAAUGUGAUGUUGUAAAAUUCAUGUUUGUACAAUGUAUCUGCUACAUGUUGUUUUCAUCUUGAUAGCUAGCAACCUAGCACCAUGAACUUCGAUUGUAAAUUCUCUAUAUGCUGUAAAAUUAAUUGGGUCAGUGUCGAAUUUGUUGUGAAUUCUAAGAUGCUUCAAGUAAAUGUUUUUUUGCCUUCUCACGUGUAGGCGGUCAGGCAAGAAAGCAAGUAUAGGUUCAGUCUGUUGGAGGAGUAUGGCGAGCUGUUGAUUCGGGCUAACCAGGCGCACACUAUGGCAAUAUGUUUUCUGCCUGAAGUCCCCUGCACUAAUGUAUUCUGUUUUUACAAGGCGUCCUGACUAUGAGCAAGAGCAGGUGCAUGUGCCUGUUUGUAAUUCUAACGAAGGAGCUCCAUCCUGAAGAAUAUAGUGCUUGUAGAGCUCGUAAAUUAGUUACUCCACUUGUAGAGUUAUUUGUAGAGCAGGAGCACCAUUGUAUUGCGUGUUAUUUGUAGAGCAGGAGCUUCAUACAGAAUCUGGCUCUAUACUGAAUCUGGCUGUUCUUAUUUGAAGUAUUAUAUGUGUUUUUUGUCAGUGCCAA